GCUUUGGGCUAUGGGAAAGUGUGUCGCCUUUCCGCCUUUGGAGUUUUGCAGUAACUCUUGUUGUUGAGGUGUAGGGAGUUGAGGUUACGUUGGGCGCCGAGAUGGAGUGUGAGCGUGAAGGCUGGGGAUACGGGACCAUCAUAUCAUACCCUACUUAAGCGACAAAACCCACCUGACACAAUGUAUAGAAGUAAAAGUCAUGUUUCUCUUUGCUCAAGAUUUACAAAGUUGCUGGGAGGUGGCUGAUGGAAAUAAAACUGUUCACUACAAAGAUUCUUGUGUUUACAUAAAUACUGGAUGGCCAUUAUGUGCUCUUUCACAAACUACUGACAUCUGAUCUAGUUCAAUAAUUAAUUUAUUGAAAAAAAAAAGGUCUUAAGAAAUGUACUUCUAUAAAAUUGGAUUUUAUUUCAAUAAGACUUGUCUCUUUCCGCUCAUCAAGUUUACAAUGAUCUCUGAGAUGACUUACAGCACUUGCUUUUCACACACAAAAUCAGUUUCAAUAAUAUUUACUAGAUUUAGUAAUGGCCUUCAUCACCCAUGAACAUUGCAUCAAUGAUACAGCCAAGGAGAAUUAAAACAUAUAAUUGUUUGCAAUUGCAAAAAAACAACAA
rnacentral:sRNA from 1 species